rnacentral:rRNA from 1 species
UACAGAGGUCCCGAGCGUUGUUCGGAUUCACUGGGCGUAAAGGGUGCGUAGGUGGCAUGGUAAGUCGGAUGUGAAAGCUCGGAGCUCAACUCCGAAAUGGCAUUGGAAACUACCCAGCUCGAGGGUUGGAGGGGGGACUGGAAUGCUUGGUGUAGCAGUGAAAUGCGUAGAUAUCAAGCGGAACACCAGUGGCGAAGGCGAGUCCCUGGACAACUCCUGACACUGAGGCACGAAAGCUAGGGGAGCAAACAGG